AAAGAAUCCUGGGAACUGUAGUUCAUUAAGGGUGCUUAGCUUUAAUGCCCUUAACAAACUACAGCUCCCAGGAUUUUU
rnacentral:miRNA from 1 species